CCUACGGGAGGCAGCAGUGAGGAAUAUUGGUCAAUGGACGUAAGUCUGAACCAGCCAUGCCGCGUGCAGGAAGACGGCUCUAUGAGUUGUAAACUGCUUUUGUACGAGGGUAAACGCAGACACGCGUAUCUGUCUGAAAGUAUCGUACGAAUAAGGAUCGGCUAACUCCGUGCCAGCAGCCGCGGUAAUACGGAGGAUUCAAGCGUUAUCCGGAUUUAUUGGGUUUAAAGGGUGCGUAGGCGGUCGGAUAAGUUGGAGGUGAAAUCCCGAGGCUCAACUUCGGAAUUGCCUCUGAUACUGUUCGGCUAGAGAGUAGAUGCGGUAGGCGGAAUGUAUGGUGUAGCGGUGAAAUGCUUAGAGAUCAUACAGAACACCGAUUGCGAAGGCAGCUUACCAAGCUACUUCUGACGUUGAGGCACGAAGGCGUGGGGAGCGAACAGGAUUAGAUACCCUUGUAGUC
rnacentral:rRNA from 1 species